rnacentral:rRNA from 1 species
AAAUUAAUAAAAUUGUAUUUUGAUAAAGCUUUAUUGAAAAUAUUAAUUAAAUAAAUUUAAGUUAUUGUAAAAUAAAAAGAUAAAAUUAAAAUUACUAUAAUGAAUUAUGUAUUGUGUAAGAAAUUAAAUAAUAUAAUUAUAAUUAAAUAAAGGUGAUUUAAUUAAUUGUGUCUUGUGUAUUAGAAUAUAUUAAAAUGAAUUGUAAAUAAUUUUUUCUCGAAUUUAAAAGAUUUAAUUAAAUAAAUUAGUUAUUGUAUUAAAAAUAUUAAUUAUAUUUAAUUAGUAAUGAAAUGUUAGUCGUUUUUAAGGAUAUCUAGUUUUUUAAUAAAUGGAUUCAAUUCAGGAGUUAUAAUUUAUAUAAUGUUUUAUUAUUUAUAUAUUUUGUAUUUCUAAUUUUAAAAGGGAUUAACUUUUUAAAGUAUAAUUAUAAUAUAUAUUUAUAGAGGAUUUUAUGAAUUUAAAAUUUGUUAAUAAUUUAAGGAUAUUAAAAUUUAAUUCUUGUUUUUAUUGAUUUUUAAUUAUUAUUUAAUUUAUAUAUUAAAAUAGUAAAUUGAAUUUAAAAUUUUUUGAUUUUAUGAUUUAAUUAGUAAAAUUGAUUUUAUAUUAUAUUUAAAUUUGGAAUGUUAAUAUAAAGAAUUAGGCAAAUAUUUCACUCACCUGUUUAAUAAAAACAUGGUUUCUUGUAUUAUAUUUAAGAGAUCUAACCUGCCCACUGAAAAUUUUUAAAGGGCCGCGGUAAUUUGACUGUGCAAAGGUAGCAUAAUCAUUAGUCUUUUAAUUGGAGGCUGGUAUGAAUGGUUGUAUGAGGUGAAUUCUGUUUUAUAAUAAUUUUAAUUGAAUUUAGAUUUUAAGUAAAAAGACUUAAAUAUUAUUAAGGGACGAGAAGACCCUAUAGAAUUUAAUAGAUGUUGUAAUUAAUUAAGUUAAUAAAUAAUUUUUAAUUAUUAUGUAAUUUAUUUAGUUGGGGUGAUUAGAAAAUAAAUAAAACUUUUCUUUAAUUUAAAUAUUAUUGUUAAUUAUAUGAUCCAUAUAUAAUGAUUAAAAGAUUAAAUUACCUUAGGGAUAACAGCAUAAUUUUUUUUGAGAGUUCAUAUUGAGAAAAAAGAUUGUGACCUCGAUGUUGGAUUAAGAUAAAUUAUAAGUGUAGAUGUUUAUAAAUUAGGUCUGUUCGACCUUUAAAAUCUUACAUGAUCUGAGUUUAAACCGGCGUGAGCCAGGUUGGUUUCUAUCUUUAAUUUUAUAAAAUAUUUUAGUACGAAAGGACCAAAUAUUUUAAAUAAUUUUUAUUAAAUGAAUUUUAGUAAUAUAA